rnacentral:rRNA from 1 species
GAGUUUGAUCCUGGCUCAGGAUGAACGCUGGCGGCGUGCUUAACACAUGCAAGUCGAACGAUGAUCCCAGCUUGCUGGGGGAUUAGUGGCGAACGGGUGAGUAACACGUGAGUAACCUGCCCUUGACUCUGGGAUAAGCCUGGGAAACCGGGUCUAAUACUGGAUAUGACCUUCUGGCGCAUGCCAUGUUGGUGGAAAGCUUUAUUGCGGUUUUGGAUGGACUCGCGGCCUAUCAGCUUGUUGGUGGGGUAAUGGCCUACCAAGGCGACGACGGGUAGCCGGCCUGAGAGGGUGGACGGCCACACUGGGACUGAGACACGGCCCAGACUCCUACGGGAGGCAGCAGUGGGGAAUAUUGCACAAUGGGCGCAAGCCUGAUGCAGCGACGCCGCGUGGGGGAUGAAGGCCUUCGGGUUGUAAACCUCUUUCAGUAGGGAAGAAGCGAAAGUGACGGUACCUGCAGAAGAAGCGCCGGCUAACUACGUGCCAGCAGCCGCGGUAAUACGUAGGGCGCAAGCGUUAUCCGGAAUUAUUGGGCGUAAAGAGCUCGUAGGCGGUUUGUCGCGUCUGCCGUGAAAGUCCGGGGCUUAACCCCGGAUCUGCGGUGGGUACGGGCAGACUAGAGUGAUGUAGGGGAGACUGGAAUUCCUGGUGUAGCGGUGAAAUGCGCA